rnacentral:rRNA from 1 species
GCACAAGCAGUGGAGUAUGUGGUUUAAUUCGAAGCAACGCGAAGAACCUUACCAGGUCUUGACAUCCAACUAACGAAGUAGAGAUACAUUAGGUGCCCUUCGGGGAAAGUUGAGACAGGUGGUGCAUGGUUGUCGUCAGCUCGUGUCGUGAGGUGUUGGGUUAAGUCCCGCAACGAGCGCAACCCUUACCUUUAGUUGCUACGCAAGAGCACUCUAGAGGGACUGCCGUUGAUAAAA